GAUGAACGCUGGCGGCGUGCCUAAUACAUGCAAGUCGAGCGAACGGACGAGAAGCUUGCUUCUCUGAUGUUAGCGGCGGACGGGUGAGUAACACGUGGAUAACCUACCUAUAAGACUGGGAUAACUUCGGGAAACCGGAGCUAAUACCGGAUAAUAUUUUGAACCGCAUGGUUCAAAAGUGAAAGACGGUCUUGCUGUCACUUAUAGAUGGAUCCGCGCUGCAUUAGCUAGUUGGUAAGGUAACGGCUUACCAAGGCAACGAUGCGUAGCCGACCUGAGAGGGUGAUCGGCCACACUGGAACUGAGGCACGGUCCAGACUCCUACGGGAGGCAGCAGUAGGGAAUCUUCCGCAAUGGGCGAAAGCCUGACGGAGCAACGCCGCGUGAGUGAUGAAGGUCUUCGGAUCGUAAAACUCUGUUAUUAGGGAAGAACAUAUGUGUAAGUAACUGUGCACAUCUUGACGGUACCUAAUCAGAAAGCCACGGCUAACUACGUG
rnacentral:rRNA from 1 species